CCAUUCCGAACACGAAGGUCAAGCAAAUUACGGCUGAUGGUACUGCAGGGGAGGCUCUGUGGGAGAGUAGGUGGUCGCCAGGU
rnacentral:rRNA from 1 species